CCUCAACUUGAUGUGUAUAUGUUGCACAUCCAAAUACUAUAAUGUGAGAAAGGUUUGGAGGCUUACCAGUCCAUAGUUCCUGUGGAGUUUUAAAUCCAAUAGGACUACAUGGAGAUCGAUUUAUAAGAUAAGCAGCUAUAGUCAAAGCCUCAGCCCAAAAACCUUUAGCUAAUCCAAAACUGAUUAGCAUACAUCUAAUUUUGUUCAUUACAGUUCUGUUAAUUCUGUUAGCGAUUGCAUUCUGUUGAGGUGUGUGUUUAACGGUCCUGUGUCUUACAAUUCCCUUUUGUUUACAGAAAUUAUCAAACUAGCAUUACAAGAUUCUAAUCCAUUAUCAGUUGUUAGAGUUAACUUCUUAUCAAGUUGAUUCUCUACCAUCUUUAACCAAGUUCAGAAUUUUUGAAAUGUUCCAGAUUUAGAUUUCAAUGGAUAAUUUCAAACGUUUCUAGAGUAGUCAUCAACUAUAGAAAGGAAGUACUUAAUCCCUCCAAAGGUAAGAUGACUUUAUGGUCCCCAUAAAUCUGAGUAGACAUAGUCCAGGUGCUUAGAGGUGGUAUGGGAUCCAACCUCAAAGCUCACCCUAUGUGACUUGACUUGACACACGUGUUUCACAAAAUUCAAAAGGCUCUAUCAUAUCUUUCCCAAGUAAUUUUUAGUUACUUAGAUACUUCAAAACCCUUAUUUUCUAUAUGUCCCAUCUUUUGUGCCACAAUUAAGAUUUGUUUUCAGAUAUGAUCAAAGAUUUAGUAUCUUGAGGAGUAACAGUCUCUCCCAUAAGAUAGUAUAAUCCAUUUUUUUUUGGGUCCUUUACCAAUUACCAAAGAUCCCUUCAUAACCUUUAAAAUGUUAUUUUCAGACUUGAAAGAAUAUCCCUUAUAUUCAAUAAUUCACAAUUAGAUGAGAUUUCUUUUCAAGUUUAGGACAUGUCUAAUAUUUUUCAAUUGCCUAACAAUACAUUCAUACAUCCUGAUGGAAAUGUCGCCAAUACCAUGGACACUUUGAGAGUUAUUAUCACCCAUAUAAACUUUCUUGGGUUCAACUUCUUUGUAAUUAUUAAACCAAGACUUAUCAGGACACAUAUGAAAUGUAUACCCUGAAUCGAAGAUCUAGUCCUUAUCAUCUUCUUCAUUAAACACAGUCAUCACAAGGAGAUUGUCUAAUUCAGAACCAACGGCAGAAUUAUCAAUUCUCCAUUAUUUUGAUCCUUCAAUUUUUUCUCCCAUUCAAAGAAAUCUCGUUUAAAGUGACCUAACUUCCCAUAAUGGUAACACUUCUUAUUGCUUAUAUCUCUUGAUUUAGAUCUAGUUUUAGAUUUUGAUUUAGAUUUUCUAUGGUUGAAGUUUUU
rnacentral:lncRNA from 1 species